CCAGCCUGGUUGUUUUAAGUGGACCAGUUAGCAGAGGUGAUUUAGGAAACAGGAGAAUACAGAUGAGAUAUUGAUAUACACUUAGGAUCAAAGUAGAUUAAAUACUGAGAAAAAAAAAAAGAUGCAUUAAAUAAGCAUUUAUUUACUUUUAAAAAAACCCUCCCCAUCUACCUUUACCCUCACAUUCACUGUACACAUCCACCCAGCCCAGUUACCCUUUCUCCUCUUAUUUCAGCAGCUGUAGCAUUAGUGACAGUUAGUUUAAUUGCCUAAAACCAAAGCACCUGCCUCAGAAGUGGCUUGUCUUACAAAAAUCGAGGCCUGCUGAAACAUUUUGAGGAAAACAUUUGUUUCAUUUUGUGUGAUAUGGAUCUUCCCUUGAGUCAAGGACAGAAGAUAAAGGAGGAAAGUUUGACAUUUUGACUUCAGUCUGGAAUGCAGCAGAUGGACUCCCAAAACACUUCCACUGAUACCAGCAGGUUUACUGGGAUGAGAAUCAGUUUUAAAGACCUCAACCAAAGCAUGAUCAAAUGGAUGACGAAAACCUCCUGAAUUCAGCAAGGCCUAAGAGAGAUAUCAUGGGACUUCCGGAGAGUUUUAGGUGCUAUUUACAGUGAUCUGCUGCUAGAGGAGCACUAAAUCACAGUUAUUUGUCUAUUGGGAAUUUAAAUGCCUGGGAUGCAGUCCUACAUCAUUGCCUCAUCAGUCAUGGGGAAGCUGAAGGAAGAGUACAUUUGGACCAGGACAAGUCAAUACCAAGGGCUGUACUUUCAUUAAGGUAGCAGAAUUCUUAAAACAAAACCUUGUCUUAGUAAGUGCCUGUUCUCUGCAAGCCAGAUUCAAUUACACAAGACAGUUUCAGAACAGACUGGGAUUUCUCUGAAAGCCAAAGGCCAGGAAAAAAGGAUUAAAUCACCAUGUUACAAAGCCAUGAUAUCUAGUUUGGAGGUCUGCAUGGAUUGAAAGGGGAUGCAUUCCCCCCUUCGAAGCAGGAAGCUACUAGAUGCAGAGGUGAAGAUAUCUGAUGGAUGUUGUCAUGCUGAGAUGCUGCUGCUUCCAGUCAUGGAAGAGUGCAAACCCAAGAGCAUUCACAUUUUCAUGAAGACUUGAAUGCAGCAGUUCCAGAUUUUCAAGCUUCCUUUCUAAACCUACAGCAGGUUAUCCUGGCCCAGCACCAAUGUUCUUGCUUCUGCUGGAGGUGUGAAUAUGACUGUCAGGGAAAUGGACAGCCAGAAGGACUAACUCUGCUUUUGAAGUACAGCAAAGCAGUUGGCCAAAACCGGGGCCAUAGCAAGAUAAAACAUCUUAUUCUCAGUUGGAAGUUCAGCCAUACAAGCAAUUACUGAUGGAUGGAGUCACUGUAACUCGUGUCUUUCCUAGGACUCUGGAAUUAGGAGAAGACCUAUGCAGGGAGUGAGGACAAAGGGGAAGACUUUUUAUGGCUUGAUUUGUUCUUGCAUUUGAAAUAGAUGCUACCUCUGACCUUUGAGAUGUUAGGCUCCAAAACAAAUAAAUAAAUGCAUCUUGGAUGAAUCAUCUAAUGCUCAUUGUGGGGAUAUUUGUGCACUAUAGACUAACUUUAAAAAUUCUUUUAAAAUUGGGAGUGCUUAAUUUUUCCUGUGACUUAUCAUUAGAUGUCUAUGAUUUAUGGCAGGUGUAAAUUAUAACUUACUUAUUUUGUGAGUAUAUAAUGAUUUGAUCUUUUGUGAAUGUUUAAGAUGCAAGUCAAAUGUGAGUCCAACCAAAACUCCCAUUUCUGGUGGUGAGAAUUUGCUCCUUUUUUACAACUAACAGCUUGCCAAGGAAUGUGGUGGAUUCUCUGCUGCUUAUAGUCUUUAAAUCAAAAUGAAUGUCUUUCCAAGAAAGAUGCCAUGCAUCAACCACAACUUACUGGAAUUGAUUUAGGAAUUGUUGGGCAGCCUCCUCUGGUCUGGGCUCUGCAGAUGUCAGAGGAGUAGGUGACUGCAAAGUUUCCAUAUGAUCUUAAAAUCUACAAAUAUGCAGUGGAAAUACUGGGGUCUUUAUUUUGCUUUUCUAUCAGGGAGGAUCUGAGAUCUUUGUUGUGCUGUUGGUCAGAGUCAGCUGGCUAGAUGGUAUAUCUCAGGUGACAGAAGGUGUUAAGACUUUUUUCUCACCUCUGCCUGGGAGCUAUGGCACAUUUUAAUGAAUUCCUUGAUUGCAAUUGCAGCUCAGUAAGAAGACUUUUUCCAAUUGUACAAAAGCCCUCUUGAUUUUUCAAAACAUCCUCAUGCUUCGUGGAGUUGAAAUCAUAAUGCUUUUCAUGCCCACCUAGUUUAAAAGCCAUCUGGUGGAGCUCUGAGAUUUUAGUACCAGUUCUAUUCUGGGCUGAACUGAGCAAAAGAUUGGUCUUUUGUCUUCUGAAUGAGUUGGGAUGGGGACUACAGGACUGCUCCCCUCCAUCAAAAGUUCAUCUCAUUCUGAAAAGAAACUCUAUCCUGCACCAUGAAUCUUUCCUGGGGGAAAUGGUCAAUGCUUUCUGGCAAAAAUGUCACUUCUGCUAAUUUGGUAUUUCUUGACAAAAAACGUUGUGUCCCCCCCCAGAAAUAAUUCAUUUUUACAAGAACUUUGUGAACAAAUCUGCAAGCAAUGAUCACGAAGAGAGCUACACUUGGGUCACACUUCUAUGCUUUCAGAAACUCAACAGCUUUUUGUGCCACAAAAGGUAAAAAUCAUAACAGCUGUGAAGGCAAGAAGAAAACAGUAUAAGACAAAUUGUUUCUUGCCUUGUAAGUGUUUAGAAGUCUUUAAUGAACAUGUUUACAUACUUCUAAAUCACAAUUGUUCUGCCAGCACUAGCGUAGACAUAGGAAGAACAAAAAGAAUAAAACAUUUUCUUCUCAAAAUCUGGUUUAUCAGAUAUAAGCAAAUGUCUUUCCCAGUCUGUCUGAAGCUAGCAGUGCUAAAUUUUAACUCUGCAGAAAGUAUUUAGCGUAAUAUAUGUAAAUAUUAUGUUAAAAGUUUCACAUCCUGUUUUGAACAGUGGCAAAAAUUUCCUUUCAGCCUUUAGGUUUUCCACUAAUUUCUUUCAUAUUGAAUCAGAGAAGGCUAAAAAAACUACUGAUCAGAUCUUACUGAGCUUUAUUGUAAUGUAGUUUAAGUGAAUGCAGACGGUUGGUUUUGCUUUUUAUUUUUACUUUUUCACUUCAUUUUUUUUCCCUCCAUGUCUGAAAUACUAUACAAGGGGUGAAGUUCUUGUGGCAUUAACACGAGAGUCUCAAAAUGGGCCAGAAAAUAAAUAUUAUAAAAAACAUGUCAUCCAAAUCAAAUAUUGUACUAAUAAGGGAAAGUGGAGAGUUUACAAUUGUGGUUCAAGGUUUUACAUGCAAGGUAGCUCAGAAGUUAGCUAAAUACAUUUCAGAUGGAUGUAAAAAGCAAGGGAAAUGUGUUAAGUAUCUUCCAAUGGGGAGAUCUCAAGCCUACCUCCAGUUACAACCCUGGAGGUCAAGUUCCCAAGCGGUUACCAAUGGGGCAAUUGAAACAGGCUCAGGUCCUGCUCUUGCUUCAACAACAUUCACCAGGCAAAAAGGCAGAAGAUCUGCUACAGCCUGACAAAGCAGGAGGCUGGCCCAUGGGCCUGCAAACAAAAUCCUGAGAACUAUCUUGUAUUAGAUGGAGCCUUUAGGUUUCCUUAUACUUGGCAAAAAAUGCUGCUACUGACUGUUGGCUCAUGGUGCUUAACUUUCUAAUUGCCCUAACUAUGCUAAAUUGCACUGUGCAGUCCCUUAACAAUUAUGAAGGUUAGCAACAGUUUUAACUGGCAGAAAUGACAUGAAUAUAAUUGCAGGGUUGUCUGAAAAAAGCAUGAAAGUCAGUAAAUACCAGAGUUAGGAUUUUCACAGCUAUAUGGACCGUCCUGUGCUGUGCAUCACCUGUAUGAUGGAAUAAGAGAAUUGCAAUAGUACUCUAAGAUUGUAUGCUUGUGUAGAAAAAAGCCCUCAAUAUGACUUACGUGGUAGGAGAAGACAAACAAACCUGCUCUGAAACUCAUAAGUUUUAUACAUUUUGUUGCACAUAGCUGUAAAACCCCAGCACUGCACUGAUGCAUCCACUCUCUUUUCAUACUCUGAUGCAGAAUGGCUGUGAGUAGUUACAGCUGGUGUGCCCCAAUUUCCAGAGGAAACUAUGAUGCCUCAUCUCCGUGCAGUGGCUGACAGCCUUCAGGUGUCUGUCUCUCUUUGGAGGUGUGAUGUGUGUUGGAGGGAUGUUUUCUCCUCUUGUUUCUUGUGCACACCGUGAUGACUGCAUGUGACUUUAGUGAAGGGUGCAAUCAAUCAUAGCACUGGUUACGUAAAAAUUCUUUGUGGAACAACUCCACCAAAAUUCACGGUUCUAAGUACUCACUAAGUAGUGUAAACAAUUUUAAUCCAGUAGUUUAUAUCAAAGAGCUAAUGUUGGCUAUCAGAACCUAACUGAAGAGUUUUCAGCUGUUCUCAGUAUAAUUGUGAAAUAUUACCAAGACUGCCACAGAGCAGGCUGAAUUUGGUAAUCCAGGACAGCUCACAUGACCAGAUUGUUUUCAGGUGUCGAUCUGGUCAGCUGUUUGACUGUAUUUUAAUAUAUAUCAAUGUAUGCAAUAAGUUAAAUUAUUUUAAAUGGGAUAUUUUAAAAGAUAAUAAUAGAUACUGCAUUUGUGCAGCAAGCUGUAGCUGCUCUGCUAUAGGUCUACUUUCCAUAGGACUUUUCAGAAAACUGCAUUGUUUUCACCUCUGUGACUGGCAACCAAGAGUAAAAGCUGUAGUUUAGAAGAGCAAACAGAUAUGAGUGGCACAGGCUGCCCAGAGAGCUGUGGGUGCCCCAUACCUGGAGGUGCUCAAGGCUGGGCUGGAUGGAGCCAUGGGCAACCUGAGCUGGUGAGGGGCAGCCAGCCCAUGGCAGGGGGUUGGAACUGGAUAAUCUUUGAGGUCCCUUCCAACCUAAGCUAUGCUAUGGUUCUAUGACCUUAAAGGAGCCAUAGAAAGAUACAGCACCAAGCGUUGACUUUCGUGUUGUACUCCAUUAAGGCCAAAAGAAAGGCUGAACAUGGAUUAUUUAGAUAGCUGACCAGCUUCAGUGUGAAAUAACAUCAUGAAUGAACAGAAGCUAGCUUGUUUUGAUUAUGCUUUCAAGUUAGGGCUCUUUAAGGGAUUGUAUAGGAUCCUCUGCAGCUAGCAAGCUUACUAUGGGUCUAUUUUUAACUAGAUGGUUAUAGGUUAUGGGUAUUAAAUAGGAUGGCCACAUCAGUGAAUCCCAUCUUAAAUAUUAGUGAAGCAUUUAUGCUUGUUGUUUUAAAGUGCUUCUAAAAUCCAUAGCAAGACCCUUAAUCUUAGUUACUUUAUUGACAGUCCCUGCCAGAGAAACCAACUCUGUAGAAGCUAGUAUUAAUUUACAUCAUGUCAAAGUAAUCAAAAUUGCAGAGAAGCAUUUUUUGCUUAACCAUCUAUGGAAAAAUCAGUGCAUUCCUCUUUCCAUCUUCUGGGGUACCUACAAAUUAUUUCUUUAAGCGUUUAUAAAGAUAGCUCAGUGUGUGGGAUUUUCUAAUGAGCCCUACUGAAUUCUAGUUUGUGUUUCCUUUGGUGAAGUGAACAUGCAUAUCCCCAAGUAAGCAAACUGCACAGACCCUGUUCAGUUUGAAGAAUUUAGCAGUCCUGAAAGGCUUAAGCAUUCCUAGAAAAGUUUGGAUUCCCUUCCAAAUUGUAAUUACAGUUUUUAAUAGUAUGAGGGUUUCCGGGAUGGACUGUAUCCAGAAGAGUUCUUCCAUUUAUCAGCUCAACACCUACUCUUUGAGCAAGAAAGAGGGCAAACCCUAGGAAAAAAAGAAAGGAAAAAGGAAAAAGGAAAAAGGAAAAAGGAAAAGGUAGGAAGGAGGGAAGGAAGGAGGGAAGGAAGGAGGGAAGGAAGGAGGGAAGGAGGGAAGGAGGGAAGGAGGGAAGGAAGGAGGGAAGGAAGGAAGGAAGGAAGGAAGGAAGGAAGGAAGGAAGGAAGGAAGGAAGGAAGGAAGGAAGGAAGGAAGGAAGGAAGGAAGGAAGGAAGGAAGGAAGGAAGGAAGGAAGGAAGGAAAUCUGUUAAAGAUGUAUAAAGAGAGACAUUAUUCCUAAGAUGGCAUGCCCUCUUGCAUUUGAAGUAAUAUCUUGAAGAAAAUAUGGCCAAAGGUAAACAAAAUAUGUUUUGAGUUUGGCUUCCUUUGGUAAAUAAAAGCUCCAGGAUCUGAGAUUUUGCGCUGAGGAUAUCUGUGUCAUUUAAAUCCAUCAGUUUAUCCACUGCACACUAAAAACCUCCAAAGACUUAUGGAAAUGUAUAGAAAAAUGAAUGCUCUGUUUCUAUCUAUGUGGGUUUUUUUGUUUGUUUGCUUUUGUUGUUUUUUUUUUAAGAAGGUUUCAGUCUUAAGAGACUCAUAUUCAGCAGCGUUUCUGAAAACACUCAAAUAAAACUUUGUAGUUAAAGAAUUUCUGUAUCAGCCAAAAAUAUCCAUCAAAAACUUGAAGAAUUUCUGAUGAAUAAAAUAUUAUACUGCAAAUAUUUGCUUUGCUUUAAUCUGGCACUGUUCCUGCUCUGAAUCUAUUGACAAUGUGGAUGGAAAGACACGUUAUCUUUUUUUAUAUGUGUUUCAGUAUUUCUGAUCUAGUUUCUUUACACAAUAUGUUACAGCAGCAAUGCCCUGAAAAACGUCAUUUGAUACUUUGGUAGAUGUGGAACAGUGCAUCCGCUCUCUUUCUGUGCAGAAUACAUUUGCCGUGGACACAGAUCUCAGCAAUUACCAGAUAAAUUUCUGUGGUCCCAGCUUUCCUUAUCUUUCACCUUUGUUUCAUACACACUUCCAUGUCAGACACCAUUUUGUCAGACUGCCCCUCUGCUGCCAUCUGUCACACAGCAACAAAAUGUAACAGAAUAUUGGUGGGAAGGUUCAGUCCCUACUGCCAUCAUCUGCUACUGACAUAAUGGGCCAACGGAAUAAAACAGGAGGCAUUACUUUUGGAGCAACCCUCGUACUUGACUCAUCUCUAUGCCUCAUUCCAGUUGCAGUUUUACCACUCUGGGUUUCUGCUGUAGAUUGUAGAUUGCUCUGAGCUUGUGGUUGUGGUUAGCCUCAAUACUAGUGAUGUGCACUUUGCUUUCUUCUCUGGAUAACAACAUCCAGCUCAUGAGAAGAGAGCUAUACAGUCCAAGCUCUCACCUGUUCUACCACUGUCAAAACUUAACCUUAAAGGGCUCAUAGAUCAUGUUAUUUGUUUGCAUGAGAUAUAUAUAUCCCUUGAGAGGCUGCAUGCAUAUCUCACAGUCUUUUGAACCAGGAGUAAUCUCUCUUCCUGGAAAUUACUGUCUUUUGCACUGCUGCAAUAAACCAAGGGUUGGCUACUGUGUUCUCCCCAGUCAUCAUGUUAAUUCCAGCACAUACUUGUAUGUGCUCUGCAGUAAAAUUAGAGAAAAGAACAUCUGGCAAACGAUUGAUGUUGUCCAUUGGCACCAAUUUCACACAGGAUAUUUAAAACAAAUGUUCUGGUACUAUUGAGAUCUUGACAUGUUUAUGUUUAGCUCAUCGGGUCAGCUGAAAUUGCCUGUGUUCACAGUGAUCCCUGAUGAGGGAUGCUUUGAGUUGCAGAUUAUUUGGAUUAUUCUCAGCAUGGGGUACAACUCAAAGCUUCUUAGCAGUGUGACUCUCAUAACAAUGAUAUAACCCAACAGCAGGUCCCCUGACCUGCCAGCACGCUCAUCGCUCCUGGGGAAUUGGUGUAGCUAAACACAAUGUUUAUGUACUAGUGGGGAAACAGGAGUCACCCUCAACAAAUCUGUUUUUUUUUUAAGGGCUGAAACAACUCCGUGGCACGUGGUGACUUUCUGCUGCAUUGUACCCAGAUUUUGCUUGGAAAUGGACCACAUCUCCAGAGGUGACAACAGAUUUCUUUUCUUCGUGUCCCCUUCUCAGCUGGAGAUGGACACGUGCAUGGUUUAGUUUGGCAUCCUUUGUUUCAGCUCUGAAUUUUAAAGUAGAGUUGAGAUCAGAUGUUAAAGUGAUAAGCCAGGCAAUGGAGUCCCUAGAAGACUCACAGCUUGUGCAAAUGGGCAUUUUUGCCACAUCAAGUCAGUAGCAAAUGUGUACAGGGAAAUGUGAGGGAAAUAUAAAAGGAAUGAGGAUGUCUUUGGCUGAGGAUUGGUAUUCUCCAUCAUGCAAAGACAGGUGACUGCACAGAAUCAAAGAAUCAUAGAAUGACAUAAUGUCUUAGGUUGGCAGGGACCUUGAAGUUCAUCCUCUCCUAGCCGUUUGCUGUGGGCUGGGUUGCUCCACACCAGAUCAGGCUGCACAUGGCCCCAUCCAACCUGGCCUCCAGCACUUCCAGGGAUGGGGCAUCUACAACUCACCAGGCAGCCUGUACCAGUGCCUCACCAACCUCUGAGAAAAGAAUUUCUUCCUAACAUCUAACCUAAACUUCCCCCCUUCUUCACAAGGAAUGACAUCUCUUCCAUCUAUUUCUAUCCUUUUUCUGAAUGUUCACUUGGGCCUGGUUUUCUGGAUAAGAGUGACAACACUUCAGGGUUGGUUUUUCUUUUUCUUUCUUUUCUUUUUCUUUUUCUUUUCUUUUUCUUUUUCUUUUUCUUUUUCUUUUUCUUUUUCUUUUUCUUUUUCUUUUUCUUUUUCUUUUUCUUUUCCUUUUCCUUUUUCUCUUUCUUUCUUUCUUUCUUUCUUUCUUUCUUUCUUUCUUUCUUUCUUUCUUUCUUUCUUUCUUUCUUUCUUUCUUUCUUUCUUUCUUUCUUUCUUUCUUUCUUUCUUUCUCUCUUUCUUUCUUUCUUUCUCUCUUUCUUUCUUUCUCUCUUUCUUUCUUUUUGACUUAACUGGAAUCAUUUCUCCAUUCAUGGAAGACUGGGACAGUUUUGAUAGGCUCGCAGAUGCCAUAAACCAAAAGAAACAACACAUUCAGCCAGCCAGGAUCGCUUCACUGGAUCCAUAUUUCACCAAAACAUGCAAAUCUGAUCAAAAUGAAACACUUCAGAAAACAUACUGAUUUUGUCAGCACUUCGGUUUGAGAAAACAGAAGGGAGGAACACUUCAACUCCUGUUGAAAUGUGCUGUUUUAAGGUAUGGUCAUUUUGGUUUUGUUUACAUUUCAGAGAAGCUUUUCUUUGGCAUUUUAACAUUGAGUUGCCUUUUUUUCCCCUAAAAUUGAAUUGUUUCUCUAAAAAAAAGAACAACAAAAUCAGGUGACAGCUGGUCUUUUAUGCUAAAUUCUGAAGCUUGCGGGCUUAAGCUUAUAAGAAAAAAAAUAUGUCUAGAUCAGUAGCAAUCAGAAUGUGUUUCAGCAGAGAUCUACACAGUAUCAAAAGCUUAGGCAAUUCCUCUUGUCUCCCAUCAUCUGGGAGAAAGUAGGCCUGCAAAGGAUUCAAAUAACAAAUUAGUAUGGAAUCAUUACGAGUAAUUUGACUUAUGAAAUUAGAUAUUUCUGAACAAACAAUAGAUGCAGCUCGAACCCCCUUCUUUCCCACAACUGUCAAACAUGGUUGUAUUUGUGAGGCCUGGGAUAAAAUUCAGUUCAAUUUCUUGACAAAAUCUUUGCAGAAUCAAAGGAGGCAAAUGUAGCAUGGAUCCUGAAAGCUGAUGAUGAGCACACAGAAUCCAAACCUGACUGUAAGUCAUUGGCACAGUAGGUAAGGCUGCUUAAAACUGAACAGACAGAGUAUCCCAAAUAUUUCCAACUCAUUUUUUGUUAUAAUUCAACAUACUUACAGACCAUUUGUGCUUGUCAAAUAGAUGCACUGAAAUACUUUUUUUAUACUGGAUCUUAUGUCAGAUUUUUAAUUCUCACUGAGUUCCUGUACAUCACAAUUUGAAAAAUUGAAAUCUCUUCUUCAGUUUAAAUAUUUUUAUCUAAAAAUAACCAGUCCUGCACAAAACGUGGCUUUUACAAAAAUCUGUUCACAUUAACAACAUCUAAUGACUUCUAAGUAAUCAUUUCUAAGUGAUGAGUUCUAUGUACUGCUUCUGAUAAUUGUUUCAGACUGCAUAUGGGGAAAAUAGGCACAGUCAUAUCAACAACAAUAGAAUGGACAUGUCUAAUUCCUCUUAUGCCAUCACAGUAAAAUCAGUCCUGAAUAAUAACAUUACAGCAAGGCAACUGUACAAUCCUUUACAGCAUGGCAUGGAAGUAAAACACAGAAAAAGUUGAUUGAUUCUGAGAAACGUCUGGUCUCCUUACGAGACACACACAAAAAAGUUACUGUUAGAGAAGUCCAAAAGAAGCAGCUAGUUGUGUGUCAGCCCGCUAACUUUGUGUUAAUGAGCAAUUAAAGUGUGUUCACAUGGAUACAAGGUGAUUAGGAGUGAAAACUUGUCAUGCUCCAGAAGGAAUUUUGUUUUGGUUCCUAAAAGGAACUUGUUGUUUGCUUACGAACACACAGAGGAUCAGAGCAAAAAAUCAGAUUCACAGUGUAUUUUAAUUAAUGAAUCAAGUUUUUGUUUAACCAAAUGAAAGACAAGCUGUAAUUUAAUUAAUUGUCUGAGAGUUGGACAGCCCAAUCUCAUCAAGACUAAUUGCUUUCCAGUUAACGCUGGAAAUGCCCACCACUUUGCAGGGCUGAGCUCAGUUGUUAAUACAACUGUUGCAAGGAGCUGCCACUUAGGGAGGACAAAAUGGGGACAGGAGGCCAACUGUUCAUGAAAUGAGCGUGACAAUCCUCUCGAUGUUUCUCCACUCAGCACAAAAAGAACAAGACGGGUUUUAUUACAAAUGGAAAUAACAGGAUAACUCCAAACAAACAAGGAAGCUCGGCGGGAAGAGAUGAGAUUUGGAGAUGGGGAAUGGAUACUUUCAGGAGUUCAUACAUCCACGUGGGAGCAGCGCGCAGGGCAACAGAGGGUGCCAUUGUGCCAUUGUGCUCCUCCUGCAGGGUGGGUGAGGGUGGUUUUCCCUGUGAGCUCCGAGAUCUGGCAGAUAAAACACAAUCGGAUUGAUUUAUUUAUAAAUCUCCAAGAAGCUUUGUUUGCACAGCAGGCUUGGCAGUACAAGCAGAAGUGCACUGUGCAUGUUUUCAUGUAUAUACGUAGAAAUUAAUUAACACACAUAUUUCUGGGGAAGCGCCUACAUGCAAUAAAGCACACCUCCUAGGAGGACUGUGACAAGUGACCAAAGCACAUUUUCCUUCCUCGCUUCAUUUGCAUUUCAUCCACUAAUUUCUUGAUCUGUCAGUCUGCAUGCUCCCAGCUAAGCCUUGUCUCUUCCCCACUCCCCAGUGCUUUGGCAUUAGGAUAUUUCCCCACAAAUCUACUCUGGCUUGUGGUCCAGCAGAUCAAAGUGCUCAGUUAUUGGCAGCAUUUGUUUAUAGUAAAAAAUGCCAUAGCUUCAUACCCAGAUUUAGCACUCGCCUCAGUGCUGUAGAAAAGGGACAUUUUUAGAUACGAGAUGCUCAUUCCUAGCUCUCAAGUUAUCAGAAUUUAAAUUUGUAAGGUUCUUAUGAACAGAGAAGGCUAUUUUUGGUCAGGAUGAAGGCCUGCGAUGGACCACAGCUAAUAAAGCCCAUUAAUUUAUUACAAGGAAUGUAAAAAAGUAGUCCUAAUUAAAUAUUUUUGAGGUCUCCUAAGCUUUCCUAAAAUAGCUGUUGUGUAAGGGAAGGGGCAUAAGCUGAAUGCAUGACGAGGAGACACAGUUUUCAUGGCACUCCUUUAGCUGCCUGCAUUAUUCAUACCACUUGCUAUGUGUCAAGCCCAAGGUCUGGAUGAUAAAACCUCUUCCCCCCACUGCCGUCUAUGCCUUACCCAGAUGUCAUAGAGAAGCACUUGUAAACUCCAUGCAGCAUUCGCUUCACACAGCAGAAGACACUUGGUGGGUAAAAUCACAGAUGCCCUUUAAAUCACCGUAAAGCAGGCCGAGGUCUUAAAAGCUUAAAGAGAAGAAGCUGAGCUGUACAAAUGUUGGUGUAAAAGCUCUGUUGUACAAACAAGAGCUGCGUUCCAAAGAUGCUGCCACCUUGGAUUUCACUAAAAACAACACCUCCCCCCUUGCUGAAUUAUUAGGUCUGUGAAUCCUCAAGACAAACGACCUUUAUUUUGAGUCUUGUACUUCACAAGCCACAUGUGGUGAAACACUUACCCUGCCAGGCUAAGGGAAAGCUUUCUGCAGAUUCAUGAGUUCUGCAGGCUCAGCAUCCUUACUUCCACCAGAGCACAGACAAUGUGUUGUCGCAAUGCAGAUCUAUAUAUUUGAAUAUCCAUUUCUUGCUGGGGCAUUGACACAGGCUCCCCAGGGAAGUGGUGGAGUCACCAUCCCUGGAGGUGUACAAGACUGCAGAGAUGCGGCACUGAGAGAUGUGGGCAUGUGGGCAUUCGUGGGCAUGGAGGGGUUGGUUGAUGGUUGGACUAGAUGAUCUUAGAGGUCUUUUCCAGCUCUAAUGAUUCUAUGAAUUUGUGAAUAAAAGUUUGGGUUUCUGCCUGUGAUUGAAAGGCAGUGCAGCCCUACAUCCAAUUACCCGUCUGUGGAAUAGGAACACCAGCAGCACUCUUAAGUGGAAGAGGAUGUCAUACUGGGCACUCUGAGGCUGCAACAAAAAGACCAGUACACAGUAGAGGAGGGCAUCUACACACACUGCCUGCUUUCUUAGCAACCUGCAGUAUGUUAGGCUAAUAACCAAACUGUACAAAUGACCAUUGCCACAGCAUCUUUGGGCUAGCAAUAUAACAUCCAGUGUAAAGGAAUAACCAUGCUUUUCCUCUUAUCUUGUACAAAACUUGCCCUGUUGUAGGGAAACUGUGACUCUACCUCCUGAAAUUCAUAGGAGCUGUCACGAGCAGCCAGUUUUUUCCUUUGGAACAAGGUAAACUCCCCUGUUCAGAACUUCAAAAGUUUGUGUCUAAUGUUGCCAACCUCUCUCUUCCUGUCCCUUCCUUACCUGCCUUUGAUGGUAAGCCAGGUAUUGUUUGGAAGAUUUAUAUACCAAUUUCUUUUCUCUUUACCAUUGAAAUGCCAUCAGCUAUAAUGGAAGAGCUCUUUUUUUGCCUAAACACACUGUUUGUGUGAAGGCUGAUGAUUUCAGUCAUUUCCCCUUCCAUAAAUUCUGCAGAAUUUAUGCUCAUAGAUGCUCCCUGCAAAUAUGGUGGUGACAACAAGUCACCAUGGUGCCUCUGAGCUAGCAGCAGGGACAAUCAUGCAAGAAUGAAAGGUGGCAUCUUCUGGGAUAUGUAUGAGAUAUGGAGGCUGGUGGCCCUGCCUAUGGCAGGGGAGUUGGAGAUUGAUGAUCCUUAAGGUCCCUUCCAACCCAAGCCAUUUUAUGAUUCUAUGAAUCUAGGUGCACCUAAAUGAGAACUGAGCACCUACCUGCUUUCCACCUGCAGCUAGGAAUUGGUUAAGAUAUGAAUUUCCAAAAUUUAUUCAUUCCAAGUGUUUACACAUUGUGGUCUUACAAUUUGCUAUCUUUGUUUUUAUGACUGGGUCAAACCUUUGAAUUCCUAUCCUAUGCAAAACUCUGAUGUUUCAGCCUGUUUCUAUUCUCAGGCAGAACUGAAAGGAAAUGAACAGAAAUUCCAGUAAAAAAAAGCUAGUGCCCAUCACUCGAGCCAUCUCCUUUUGAAUACAACUGAAUGGGUUUUAUCAAACUGUCCUUUUCCCUCUUCCUAUCAAAAUGUAGCAAAUACGUUUUUUUUUUAAGUUUCCUAUAAUUUUCUUUAAAAAAAACUAAUCAAAAUUGUUGUAUUCCCAUGGAAGAUUUCUUUUUUGGGCAAAACUGUUAUUCUGACAAAAAACAAAACAAAAUAACAAAAAACCAAUAACCAACAAGCAUUAAUCAAAAGUUAGAUUAUAACUGUAGUGCUUUCCUGCCUGAUUUCUGCCACAUUCGUGAACUCAGAGACAUGGAGACCCACGCUCCACUCUUCUAAAAGUCUUUUUGACAUCGCAACCAUUUUGCCACAAAAAUCACUUGCAGUAAUAACAUGAGGGCAUUCACUGAUUUGAGACCUCAGCACAUCCUGACCUGGUAACAAAGGACUUCUUAGAGAGACUUUCCUGAUAGAGUGGUUUAUGGGCUGGGAAACAGUUGGCUGUGGCCAAGAUGAUUGUACAUUUUCACCUACAGAAUUGCGCCUUCACUUGAAACUCUAACACUUAACACUAUGAUUAGUCUGCUAUGCCACGUCCAUCCUAUGAUAUAGAAUACCACAAGACCCUGAACAAAAUGGUGUAUUGCUUAUUUGUGAGAAAUGCUAUAUAAUCAGAGAGACUUUCCAGGAAGGGCUGCUAUCAUUCUGUGCAAAAGCCCUCCCAGAAGUGCUCUUGCCCUUCUAAGAAUAUUUGGAAGAGAAGAAUGGUCAGGAAAAAUAGAAACUAUGGCAUGGGGCAAUUUCACAGCACUACCACCCUUAGAAUCUACUCAUACUAACACUAAAACAGAAUUAUAUUAAAUGACAUGACAAACAUGCUAAAAGAGUAGAACUGCAAACAGUCAUCACUUAUCUUUUUAGUGGCACGCUACAGUUCUGCACACACAUCUGAAAUACACCCAGAAGGAUGUUGUUUUUGUUAGAGAGCACACAUAACAUAGUUAAGAGUUAACCUCACGAUUCAAAAACUGCAUCUUCAUUCAACUUCCUGGCCUACACCAAUGCUACAUCACCUUCUGAGCUAUGUGGGAUGGAUUGUUGGCCACUGCAGUACCAGGCUGCAAGGUACAAACCAGUGCCUGAACAUUGUUGCCUGGGGCAGGGGUUUAUUACUUGCUCUGUGGCACCUGUCAGCAUCUUACCACGAGCUUCCAUUCUAAAUUUAUGAAUAGGUACUUGGGCACAGCACACAGGCAUUAUACAUGAUCUUCAGCAUAAAAAAGGAUCAUGCCCUUAUCAGUUUUCUAUAGUAAUUUGCUAAAUGUCAUUGCCCUUACCCAGGUCUCAUUCUGCAGAGCCCUGGCAUGCUGGGGUCCUGCUAAAGGCAGUCUGUCCUUCCCCUUGCACUCGUAUGAGUGUUUGCUCUGUCAUGAGAUCUUCUGAAUGCUGGAUGUUUGAUAGGCCAAUAAGCUGCCUGAGUAAAUAUUUUUACUUGCUCUCAUUGAAUACUAAAGCCAACGUUUCAACUGAAAAUAGCUUGGGGUAAAUAUCGUUGGUUUUAAAUGAUUUUUAGAGUAAAUUCUCUUUGUGGACUCAUGGAUUAGUGCUCCUAUGCUUUUAAAAGUGCAUCACACAAUAUUGCAGAGAAAUAACAUUUCAACCACUUGAACUAUUACACUUUAGACUCACCUAUUUUUGGAAGGCUGUUCUAAAUUUUUCAUGGAAAAGUAAGGGAAAAUAUGAUAGUCCAAAAACAGUGAUACAGGUAUACUGCUGACAGAAAUUUGAUUAUAUGUCUUAAGUGUCUGGUUGUAGUUACUGUCUACUUUGCUGCAACCUAAAGAGAUUUUAUAUGAAAAAGAAUAUUAAUAAAUUCUGGACUAGUUCUUAUUCAAGAACAUUUGAAAAAUAAAGCAGAGUUUUGUAAAUUACAAAGGUAAAAUCCUAGUUUGGAUGACGAGCUACUUUUGACAUUACUUGAUAUAAGAACUUUACAUGGAUCUUUUUGAAAUAUGGCUCUUAUUACCAUUCAUAUAGACGACAUUUCCUUUUCUUGAUUCAAUCGUGAAAAAAUCCAACUUACAGAUAUCCCAUAUAUUAGUACAACUUCUUUCACACAUUACUACAGCAUAAUGUAUUUGGCUGCACUUGCUUCGAACAGGUCCAUUCUACCCAUAUGGUCUGGCUUUAUUAUUUCUUGCUCCCAUCUGUUUUAAGUUAUCAUUCUUGGGCUACAGUUUUCAAGAGAUGCUCCCUAGCUACAUGCACAAAGGCUGUUUCUGAAAGAAAAUGUGAACAACAGGUGACUUCUACACUCUGAUUCACAUCUGUGCAAGGUUCAUUGAGGUCAGUGCAGCCUAUUGAUGUAGAUUUUGGCUUGACAGUCUGUAAAACCCCAUUUUGCCUGCAUGGUCUAUGUGUUACAAAACCCUAGAGGCCUAGUUUGGAAAUCCUUGAUUCCCAUGAAUACUCCUGCUGGCGAGUAGUGUCUUGACAGAAGUUGUCUUUUAUUUUUAUGUUCCCAUUCAAUUCUUUUCCCACCAGUUUUGUGAGUAACAACUACAUCCUCCAUGCUGGAGAAGUAAAACAACAGCCCUUGCCCAAGGCUUUGCCAUUUUUAGCAAAUAGGUUUAAAGGUCAAAAUCUAGAAGAGAUUUUGCCUGACUUCACCAUCAUUUUCUUGAGUCAGGAUGGGCUGGGAACCCUGGAGAGUAAAACCAGCCCGCAAGACCAUCUCCUACCACCCAGCCCUGCUCCACGCUCACUGGGUGGUCAGACCUUCAAAGCCACUUCCUUGUUAGGAAGUCCAUAAUCUUCUCCUUUCUUGUUCUCUCCUGAAACUUGAUGUUCCCAACAUAGUGAAGCCAUUUGACAUUACUGAUCUCUCCUAAACACCUGCUAUCAAAUGCAUCAAAUCUUUUCUUGUCAGCUUGCGUAAUGCCCCAGGUCUUCGCAGCAUCGAGCAAAACUGAUACCACACAGCUGUUGUAGAGUCUUAUUUUUUGUUUUGCGGACAUGUCACUACCCCAUACUUUUGCCCUUGAAUUUAUUUACAUUGAUCUUCACCUUCUACUGGUCAAGCUUAAAAUGACAUCAGACAAAAUCCAGACAGAGUGGUCCAGAUCACUGGGAAAGGAAAUAAAACAAAAACAUGAUGCCAUGAUUGCAACUGACGCCAAAGAGGAAGGGCAAAGCCGUUAUUUCUUUUCCUCAAUAAACCCAAAGCCACUAUUUAAUCAAAAGCUUCGGUGUUUGUUUCGAGUGAAAACGUCAAAAUUUAGGGUAUUUUCUUUUCUUUUCUUUUCUUUUUUUUUUUUAAGGUGAUCACUGGUGUUGUAGCUCACCAAAGAGGAGCCAAAGGAUCUGGCAGUUCUUGUUAAUAGUUUGACAGAUAAUAUUUAUGAAACCCCUUUAAAAAAGAACGGAAGGCAGUGAAUCCUAGAUAAUUUAUUCAGUAUGAAGGAUGGGUUUUCUUUUUCAGAAGGGAAAAACUGUGUUAUUACUGAGUUCGCUGGUUAAAUUCUGCAUCAAAAUGUGUAAAGAAACAAUGUAGAGAAAAAUAAAUGAAAGUGAAAGCUCUGUUUGUAAUUGUUUUCAUUUGUCCAGAGGUCAGUAGUAGCUUUACUAACGACCCUUACAAUAUCAUUUUGCUCUUUUUAAAAGUCACAAAGACAAUGUAAAAGAGAACAGAAUAUGGAAAAAAAAUCAAAGUAAAAUUAAAAGAAAAAUAUCUUCUGAAAAAAGACUGUAGCUGUGUAGAAUAUAUUUUGUUUAUAGAGAGGUCCCAAGAAGCAUUUAUACAACCUAUAACCGGACUAUGCCAGCCCAGGCAGAGCACUGCAUAUUUGGUAAGGAUAAAAUUAUGUUGCAAAAUAAAGAAAACUUCCUGCCUAAAAUUCCAAAUUCCUAAGAAAAUAAAUGCAAUAUGAUCUAGACAUAAAAACAUAUAUUAAGCAUAAACCAUAAGCAUAAACCAAUAAAUAAAUCUAGCCCUCUCUUCAGUAUGGAAAAGAACAUUAAUAAUACGAACAGUAUGUGUAAAUUUUGUUUUAAAAAACAAGAUGUAAU
ensembl:lncRNA